rnacentral:rRNA from 1 species
GGGGCGUCAUAGAGGGUGAGAAUCCCGUCUUUGACACGGACUACCAGUGCAUUGUGGUAUGCUCUCAAAGAGUCGAGUUGUUUGGGAAUGCAGCUCAAAAUGGGUGGUAAAUUCCAUCUAAAGCUAAAUAUUGGCGAGAGACCGAUAGCGAACAAGUACCGUGAGGGAAAGAUGAAAAGAACUUUGGAAAGAGAGUUAAACAGUACGUGAAAUUGCUGAAAGGGAAACGCUUGAAGUCAGUCGCGUUGGCCAGGGAUCAGCCUUGCUUUUGCAUGGUGUACUUUCUGGUUGACGGGUCAGCAUCAAUUUUGACCACUGGAAAAAGGCCUGGGGAAUGUGGCAGCUUCGGCUGUGUUAUAGCCCCUAGUUGUAUACAGUGGUUGGGAUUGAGGAACUCAGCACGCCGCAAGGCCGGGUUUCGACCACGUUCGUGCUUAGGAUGCUGGCAUAAUGGCUUUAAGCGACCCGUCUUGAAACACGGACCAAGGAGUCUAACAUGCCUGCGAGUAUUUGGGUGGAAAACCCAAGUGCGUAAUGAAAGUGAAAGUUGAGAUCCCUGUCGUGGGGAGCAUCGACGCCCGGACCAGAACUUUUGGGACGGAUCCGCGGUGGAGCAUGUAUGUUGGGACCCGAAAGAUGGUGAACUAUGCCUGAAUAGGGUGAAGCCAGAGGAAACUCUGGUGGAGGCUCGUAGCGAUUCUGACGUGCAAAUCGAUCGUCAAAUUUGGGUAUA